GACGAACGCUGGCGGCGUUGCUUAACACAUGCAAGUCGAGCGGUAAGGCCCUUUCGGGGGUACACGAGCGGCGAACGGGUGAGUAACACGUGGGUGACCUGCCCUCAGUUCUGGGAUAAGCCUGGGAAACCGGGUCUAAUACUGGAUAUGACCUCAUGACGCAUGUUGUGGGGUGGAAAGCCUUGUGCGACUGAGGAUGGGCCCGCGGCCUAUCAGCUUGUUGGUGGGGUGAUGGCCUACCAAGGCGACGACGGGUAGCCGGCCUGAGAGGGCGACCGGCCACACUGGGACUGAGACACGGCCCAGACUCCUACGGGAGGCAGCAGUGGGGAAUCUUGCGCAAUGGGCGAAAGCCUGACGCAGCGACGCCGCGUGAGGGAUGACGGCCUGGUGUAAC
rnacentral:rRNA from 1 species